rnacentral:rRNA from 1 species
CCCCUAGUAACUGCGAGUGAAGCGGGAAAAGCUCAAAUUUAAAAUCUGGCAGGCAUUUGUCUGUCCGAGUUGUAACCUAGAGAAGUGUAACCUGUGCUGGACCGUGUACAAGUCUCCUGGAAUGGAGCAUCAUAGAGGGUGAGAAUCCCGUCUUUGACAUGGACUACCAGUGCACUAUGGUUGUGCACUCAACGAGUCGAGUUGUUUGGGAAUGCAGCUCUAAAUGGGUGGUAAAUUCCAUCUAAAGCUAAAUAUUGGCGAGAGACCGAUAGCGAACAAGUACCGUGAGGGAAAGAUGAAAAGAACUUUGGAAAGAGAGUUAAACAGUAUGUGAAAUUGUUGAAAGGGAAACGCUUGAAGUCAGCUGUGUUGGCUGGGGAUCAAGCCAGCUUAUUUGCUGGGUGUACUUCCUGGUUGACAGGCCAACAUCAGUUUUGACCAUCAGAGAAAGGCUAAGGGAAUGUGGCACCUUUACAGGUGUGUUAUAGCCCUUGGUUGUAUGUGAUGGAUGGGACUGAGGACAGCAGCGUGCCACAAGGCCGGGUUUCGACCACGUUCACGCUUUGGAUGUUGGCAUAAUGGCUUUAAGCGACCCGUCUUGAAACACGGACCAAGGAGUCUAACAUGCCUGCAAGUGUUUGGGUGGAAAACUCGAGCGCGUAAUGAAAGUGAAA